CCUUGGUGAUGAGAUCUGCACAUGUCUUACGCCUUGUGUGAAUGCCAGACCUGCAAAGGUGAACCCACUGGUGUUGCCAGGGCAACAAGGGGACAACUUGUUGGGGUUUCCAACUGUCUGAAAGGA